AGUGAACGCUGGCGGUAGGCCUAACACAUGCAAGUCGAACGGCAGCACAGUAAGAGCUUGCUCGUAUGGGUGGCGAGUGGCGGACGGGUGAGGAAUACAUCGGAAUCUACUUUUUCGUGGGGGAUAACGUAGGGAAACUUACGCUAAUACCGCAUACGACCUACGGGUGAAAGCAGGGGAUCUUCGGACCUUGCGCGAUUGAAUGAGCCGAUGUCGGAUUAGCUAGUUGGCGGGGUAAAGGCCCACCAAGGCGACGAUCCGUAGCUGGUCUGAGAGGAUGAUCAGCCACACUGGAACUGAGACACGGUCCAGACUCCUACGGGAGGCAGCAGUGGGGAAUAUUGGACAAUGGGCGCAAGCCUGAUCCAGCCAUACUGCGUGGGUGAAGAAGGCCUUCGGGUUGUAAAGCCCUUUUGUUGGGAAAGAAAAGCAGCAGGUUAAUACCCCGCUGUUCUGACGGUACCCAAAGAAUAAGCACCGGCUAACUUUGUG
rnacentral:rRNA from 1 species